ACAGGUACCUUGCUAGUGGCGAUAGUAUGGUCUCUCUUUCAUAUGCAUUUAGAAUUGCUCAAAGUACAGUAUCAAGUAUUAUACUUGAAACUUGCAAUGUUUUGUGGGAUUUAUUAAGUGACAAAGUGCUCUGUAUUCCAAAUGAACAAACCUGGCUAAAUAUUGCUGGUAAUUUUGCAGAAAGGUGGCAAUUACCUCAUUGCAUUGGAGCAGUUGAUGGGAAACAUGUUGUAAUUCAAGCUCCACCAAAUUCAGGAUCAACAUUUUAUAAUUAUAAAGGAUCUCAUAGCAUUGUUCUCUUAGCAUUAUGUGAUGCUAAAUAUAAAUUCAUAAUGGUUGACAUUGGCAGUGAAGGGAGACACAGUGAUGGAGGGAUUUUUAAAAACUCCAACAUGGGAAAAAGGCUUUUAGAAAACACACUUAAUGUUCCAGAACCCUCUAUUUUGAUAGAUAAUAAAGAUCCUUUAAAUUAUUAUAUUGUUGCUGAUGAAGCUUUUCCCCUAUCCACUUAUAUUAUGCGUCCAUAUCCUGGAAAAUUUUUGCCACAAGAUAAAAGAAUUUUUAAUUACAGGAUUUCUAGAGGGCGCAGAGUGAUUGAAAACGCAUUUGGGAUACUAGCUGCUCGUUGGAGAAUAUAAAGAAAUGUUAUUAUAUCUAGUAAACCAACCAUAAUUGUCAUAGUGAAAGCUACAAUUUGCUUACACAAUUUCAUAAUUGAUAAUGAGCAAAAUAAAGAAAAGCAGUAUUGUAGUGCCACAAUUAUUGAUAGGGAAGAUGAAAAAGGAAAUAUUAUUGAAGGAGACUGGAGACGUGAACCUCGGCUAAACCUCCUGCCUGUAAACAGGACAAGCACUAAUAUGUAUGGCAGAGCAGCAGAAAAUAUGAGGAACAGAUUAAAAAAAUAUUUUAUGGAAGAUGGAGCAGUCACUUUCCAAUGGAAUAAAUAGCUUAACAGUUACAAAAUAACUGGAAUGAAGGCCUAAUUACUUUUAGUAACUUUUUCAUCUUAAUCUUAAUAAAGACUGUAAUUCAUUUCUA
rnacentral:lncRNA from 1 species